GCCAGCGUGAGCACUGUGAAGCCCCGUGUAGCAUUUGUUGCUUCACAUGGGAAAGUGGAGCACUCCCUGGCUACCUGUUGGACUUCCCAAGACUACACACAGAUCCCAGGCUGGCCUAAGUUUGAGAUAAGCCACUGCAAACAUCCACCUAAACUGUAUCAACUGCACCCACAGGCGAUCGUGGCUCAAGAGUUGGGAGUUCGCCUUGUAAUCGGAAGGUUGCCGGUUCGAGCCCCGGCUUGGACAGUCUCGGUCGUUGUGUCCUUGGGCAAGACACUUCACCCAUUUCCUAGUGGUGGUGGUCAGAGGGCCCGGUGGCGCCAGUGUCCAGCAGCCUCGCCUCUGUCAGUGUGCUUCAGGGUGGCUUGGCUACAGCGUAGCUUGCCAUCACCUGUAUGUGAAUGGGUGAAUGACUGGAUAUGUAAAGCGCUUUGGGGUCUGUCAGGAAUAGAAAUAUUGUCCUGCUAUUAGUUGCUGCUAUUUUUAUAAUCAUCAUUAACAUUUCAGUAUUAAUAGUGAUGUUGCAUUUAGAUGCAUUCAGAUGUUCAAAUAUAUGGUUAUAGCCUUUAUUACAGGUCCAAAGAAGAACCAUUUUAAAUGGUUGAGUUGAAUCUAUAAUUUAAAUGUUAUUAAUGCUUUUAUGAUCUCUGUGUAGAGGGCAGAGACAGGAAAAUACACUUUGUGCCAAAAUGAGACAGGAAGUUAUGUCUUUGAAGUUGCAGCUUUUGCAGAAGUGAAACCGAAAGCAGAGUGAGCGUAAGCUGAAAGAGUAGGGUGUUUAUUCAGUAGAUUACAUAUAUAGUUCCAGUUAGGUUAUUAUAUGUAAAGGGGAGCCUCUGGUCACGUGAAGGUCAGAAGUGUAACGGGUGAGAUGUGAGAGCAUUUAAGGGCGAGACAUAUACAUACAGACACCAAUAGUGAGAGGUCAUGACACGUACGCAGUACACAGCAUGCACGCGCCCUCGCACGUGUACGCGCAGAGACAUACACACACACUGUUAGGGUGUAGGUGAGAGUUGACUGAUGAAGCAGUAGAUGCACGAUGCGAGAGCGGAGCUGGCUUACGGGAAACCACCGGAAAGAAGAUGGAAGCCAGUGCACUUUUAAUUGUGCCUUAAGUUGUCAAAUAGAACAUUUGUGGUUUUGAAGCUGAUGUAUGUGAUGACGCAAUGAGGGGGCGUCACUAAAUAUACUCUGAUGCAUAUAAAACUGUAUUUUGAUGUUAGGAGGAUGAGAUUGUGGGGCUGUCUGCUUACGGAGUCCGCUCAUUCUCCCACGCGUGUCAUUUCAUUAAAAUCAUCGUCUUUACCCUUUGGACCAGUGUGGUUACUUGCAUUCCUCCUGUGUUUCCUUCUCUAUAUUUUUGAACCUUAACAUUUGGGGGCUUCGUCCGAGGGGGGAAGUGAGACAGGAUGGAGAAAGGGACUAGUAAAAGCGAGUAGUAAUAUACCUGCAGCUUUUAGAAGUUACAAUUCUUUUCUGUAAAAAAGCAUUU
rnacentral:lncRNA from 1 species